rnacentral:piRNA from 1 species
UAACAUUUUGUGGAUUUCUGAUGCUUUUG